AUGGCUCGCAAGAAGGUGACCCUCAAGUACAUCGCCAACGACUCCACCCGGCGCUCUAGGUUCAGGAAGCGUCUCAGGAGCCUGAUGAAAAAGGCGACCGAGCUGGCCACCAUGUGCGAUGUCAAGACCUGCGUGGUGGUGUACGGCGAGGGCGAGGCGGAGCCUCAGGUGUUCCCUUCCCAUGCCGAGGCGGUGGAUAUCCUGAAUGAAUUCAAGAGCAUGCCGGAGCUGGGCCAUUGCAAGAAGACGAUGGACCAGGAGGCAUUCCUCACCCAGCGCAUCGCCAAGCUCCGGGACCAGGUGGACAAGGCUCGCCGCGAGUGCCAGGACAGCGAGAUCAGGUACCUCCUUUACAACAUCAUGCACGGCAACCACCCAGGCCUCGUUGAUCUCAGCGCCGAGGACGUCGCCCGCGUUGGCUGGAAGGUGGACGAGCUACUCAAGAGCCUCGGCGAACGCAUGGCAAAAAACCAUGUCCAGGCGCCGCCGCCAGCUCCAUCCGUCAGCACCGACAGCAUCGACAUGGCGUCUCCGUCGCAGUAUCUGACGUCACCGCAGCAGGAGGAAGGCUGGCUUGACAUGGUGAGCUCCGGUGGUGACGUCGGCACCCUGGUCUACGGUGGCAACGCCAGCCACGACGGCGCCGGCUUCUCCGGCGCUGAUAUGAUGAUGCAGACGCCAUUCUCCGAUCUGGGGUUCAGUUCGAGUCCUUUCCCUCCCAUCUAA
rnacentral:rRNA from 1 species